rnacentral:lncRNA from 1 species
GCAGUAUUAAAAAAAUUGCAGUAAACCUCACUGGAGCAUUGUGGCGGAGAGGUCUGUCUGUGCAGGGGAAGCACCGGAGGGGGGAUGAUGCUGGGUGCUUUGGGAAUGGGGCUGCAGGAAGCAGAGAGAGGCUUGAGGCAGGUGAAUCAGUUAUUUGGGGUUUGUAGGGAGAGAGCUGGGAUCCCGGGGGUGGGGGGUGGAGGGUGUUUUUCGUGCAUCUGUAAUUCCCUGAGUUACCCAAGCUCAUUGCGGCAACAUCUGGCAGGAGUGGAGGUGUCGGGCGAUAUGGGCUUUAGAGUUCUCUCUAGUCUCUAUGGGUCAGUUCUAUGGCUCACUAGGGCCAGAGACUGGAUUUCCCGUCUGCAGGGAGCUGAGAUGCUGAGUCAGGGUACCAGGGCUAAGAAGCAAACACAGAUCUGGAUCUGAUCCUUUCAGGUGUGACCAGACCCGUCCCUAGGGGGGAACCUAAGAGCCCAUUCAGCCCAUCCGUCACACAGUCUCCUGACUCCUGCAGUGACCAGAGACCCUCCUCAAGCCCCUCCAUGCUGCCCCUUAUGUCUGGUACUCCCGGCCAACCCCCUGCAUAUUCAGAACCCUCCUCACAUCCCACUCCUUCUUAGUAUCCCCCGAAUCCCACUCAGCUCUGACAGAGACUCCAGGCCCCUCCCCAUGGGACUCCUAGCAAUAAGUCAUAUGUGACAAGGGACAAGGGGGAAAACUCUGAAUCAGAACCACAUGCGCCCUCCAGACCCAUCCCAGUGAGCUGGGCAAAUAACGGAGAAGAGUGGAGGGCAGAGGAGGAGAAUGGUGCAAAGGGCAAGAGUGGGGAAGGCCCCAACACUAAGAGCAGAGGGAUAAGGCAAGGCUAAAAAAUCCAUCUGGUCACCCUCUUUCCUCCAUCUACUGCAGUGUUCUGUAUGGGGACAAUAGAAACUCUCCCUGUCCCACUCAACCCCCCCCCCCACACACACACACACACACACUCACACAUACACACACAGGAUGUCCCCAGGGGAAUAAAAGCCUCCACUGGAUUGGAAAUACUGACCCU